rnacentral:rRNA from 1 species
AAUCUUGGACAAUGGGGGAAACCCUGAUCCAGCAAUGCCGCGUGCAGGAUGAAGGCCUUCGUGUUUUAAACUGCUUUUGUACGGAACGAAAAGUCUUGGGCUCAUACCCUUGGAUCAUGACUGUACCGUAAGAAUAAGCACCGGCUAACUCCUUGCCUGCAGCCGCGGUAAUACGUAGGGUGCAAGCGUUAAUCGGAAUUACUGGGCGUAAAGCGUGAGCAGGCGGUAUUGUAAGACAGUGGUGAAAUCCCCGGGCUCAACCUGGGAACUGCCAUUGUGACUGCAAGGCUGGAGUGCGGCAGAGGGGGAUGGAAUUCCGCGUGUAGCAGUGAAAUGCGUAGAGAUGCGGAGGAACACCGAUGGCGAAGGCAAUCCCCUGGGCCUGCACUGACGCUCAUGCACGAAAGCGUGGGGAGCAAACAGG